rnacentral:rRNA from 1 species
AGGACAACGUUUCGAAAGGAACGCUAAUACCGCAUACGUCCUACGGGAGAAAGUGGGGGAUCUUCGGACCUCACGCUAUCAGAUGAGCCUAGGUCGGAUUAGCUAGUUGGUGAGGUAAAGGCUCACCAAGGCGACGAUCCGUAACUGGUCUGAGAGGAUGAUCAGUCACACUGGAACUGAGACACGGUCCAGACUCCUACGGGAGGCAGCAGUGGGGAAUAUUGGACAAUGGGCGAAAGCCUGAUCCAGCCAUGCCGCGUGUGUGAAGAAGGUCUUCGGAUUGUAAAGCACUUUAAGUUGGGAGGAAGGGCAGUAAGUUAAUACCUUGCUGUUUUGACGUUACCAACAGAAUAAGCACCGGCUAACUUCGUGCCAGCAGCCGCGGUAAUACGAAGGGUGCAAGCGUUAAUCGGAAUUACUGGGCGUAAAGCGCGCGUAGGUGGUUCGUUAAGUUGGAUGUGAAAGCCCCGGGCUCAACCUGGGAACUGCAUCCAAAACUGGCGAGCUAGAGUAUGGCAGAGGGUGGUGGAAUUUCCUGUGUAGCGGUGAAAUGCGUAGAUAUAGGAAGGAACACCAGUGGCGAAGGCGACCACC